rnacentral:rRNA from 1 species
UACGUAGGUGGCAAGCGUUGUCCGGAUUUAUUGGGUUAAAGGGUGCGUAGGCGGCUUUGUAAGUCAGUGGUGAAAUAUGGCAGCUCAACUGUCAAGGUGCCAUUGAUACUGCGGAGCUUGAGUACAGAUGAGGUAGGCGGAAUUGACGGUGUAGCGGUGAAAUGCUUAGAUAUCGUCAAGAACACCUAUAGCGAAGGCAGCUUACUAGGCUGUAACUGACGCUGAGGCACGAAAGUGUGGGGAGUCAAACAGG